rnacentral:rRNA from 1 species
UACGAACCACACAAACGUUAUUCGGAAUUACUGGGCUUAAAGGGUGCGUAGGCGGCGCGGAAAGUUGGGUGUGAAAUCCCUCGGCUCAACCGAGGAACUGCGCUCAAUACUACCGUGCUCGAGGGAGACAGAGGUGAGCGGAACUUAGGGUGGAGCGGUGAAAUGCGUUGAUAUCCUAAGGAACACCCGUGGCGAAAGCGGCUCACUGGGUCUCUUCUGACGCUGAGGCACGAAAGCUAGGGUAGCGAACGGG